AUUGAACGCUGGCGGCAUGCUUUACACAUGCAAGUCGAACGGCAGCGCGGGCUUCGGCCUGGCGGCGAGUGGCGAACGGGUGAGUAAUACAUCGGAACGUGCCCAGCCGAGGGGGAUAGCUCGGCGAAAGCCGGAUUAAUACCGCAUACGACCAGAGGGUGAAAGCGGGGGAUCUUCGGACCUCGCGCUAUUGGAGCGGCCGAUGGCAGAUUAGCUAGUUGGUGGGGUAAAGGCCUACCAAGGCGACGAUCUGUAGCUGGUCUGAGAGGACGACCAGCCACGCUGGGACUGAGACACGGCCCAGACUCCUACGGGAGGCAGCAGUGGGGAAUUUUGGACAAUGGGCGAAAGCCUGAUCCAGCAAUGCCGCGUGUGUGAUGAAGGCCUUCGGGUUGUAAAGCACUUUUGGCGGGAACGAAAAGGACUGUGCCAAUACCACGGUUCGAUGACGGUACCCGCAGAAUAAGCCCCGGCUAACUACGUG
rnacentral:rRNA from 1 species